rnacentral:lncRNA from 1 species
CUGAAACUUCGAAUAGAACGUUGAGGAAACAUGUUGUAAAUUGUUAGGGGGUUGGAUCAGAACAAAAGUUCAGCAGGAAAACUAAAAAGUGCAGUGACAAGUGAGGACAAAUGUAACAGUCAGACGCUGCUGUGAGAGCCGGGCCUGGAGCUGCUGGAGAGGCUGGAGAGGCUGCUGUCUCUCCCCAUGUGCAGGAGGCCCAGACGGGCCCAGGUGUGCUUCCUUCACUGCACAGCCGCCCCAUAGGAACAUGAAACAAUCUACGAAGUCCUUCACUGUACUAACACAGCUCACCUUCAGGCACAAAACAGGCAAGGCAUCCUACACAACGUAUGAAAGAAAACAAAAUGUUUAUGAGAUCAUCAUCUAGAAAAAAUAUUAUGUUAAUCUUAAUAUGUGACUGGAAAGAUCAGGGGUGGGUUACUGAGCCAUCCUACCUGGUUUGCGACAGGAAAACUAUGUAAAAAAAUUCAGAGAUCUGUUAUGAUCCCAUCUAGAUUUACCAAGGCUUAUUUCCG